GACGAACGCUGGCGGCGUGCUUAACACAUGCAAGUCGAGCGAUGAAGUUCCUUCGGGAACGGAUUAGCGGCGGACGGGUGAGUAACACGUGGGUAACCUGCCUCAUAGAGGGGAAUAGCCUUUCGAAAGGAAGAUUAAUACCCCAUAAGAUUGUAGUACCGCAUGGUAUAGCAAUUAAAGGAGUAAUCCGCUAUGAGAUGGACCCGCGUCGCAUUAGCUAGUUGGUGAGGUAACGGCUCACCAAGGCGACGAUGCGUAGCCGACCUGAGAGGGUGAUCUGCCACAUUGGGACUGAGACACGGCCCAGACUCCUACGGGAGGCAGCAGUGGGGAAUAUUGCACAAUGGGGGAAACCCUGAUGCAGCAACGCCGCGUGAGUGAUGACGGUCUUCGGAUUGUAAAACUCUGUCUUCAGGGACGAUAAUGACGGUACCUGAGGAGGAAGCCACGGCUAACUAUGUGCCAGCCGCCGCGGUAA
rnacentral:rRNA from 1 species